AUGUCACUCCUUCUGGGUCCCCCUGGUUGGACAAAUAUGACCUCAGUCCCUGUCAGAGGCCAGUUUUCUAGACUCCAGGAGUCCAGGGAACAAAAGGCAAAGCAUCUUCUGGGAAGCCUGGGAGCUGCUAGGAGGCCUCUGGCAUCUUCCCAUAGGCCUGACGGAUCCACUUCAGACAACACAAGCCUGAAAGAAAACCCAGCAACCUCCCUGCCUCCACCACCCUGGUUCCCUCCCAUUGUGUGGUGAUAUUUUUUGCUUAAAGAGCUGAGUGUUGCCUUGGCAAAAUCAGGUAAAUGAAAUCUAUUUGGAUACCAAAGAAGUUUUUUGCCAUUUCCAAAUAAUGGUACCUAGCUUCCUCUUUGCAGAGAAGAGCCAACAUUGGACAGAGACACGAAUGGCCUAGAAGCUCUCAUCAUACCAUUCAUUCAUGUCCUCCUGAGACCAACAUUGGUUGGGCCUAUGAAAAUGUUGAAUGUGGUAUUUCAGGACUAAACAUUGAGCCGGAACACUAAGAUUUUAAAAAGCAAACACUUUAUUCCCCCCCCCCCCCCCCUCGUUUUUGCUGUUUCACUUUCUGUGCUGAAUCUUCCUUGUCCUGCUUUUACAAGAGAAGGAAUUUGAAUUUGACUAAAUCAGAGAACCAUAGAGUUGGAUAUAGAAGAAACCUUCAAGAUCACCUAAUAUGGUUCCCACAUUUACUGGAUCAAUAAGGACCUGGAUAUGGAAGGAGAAAUUAAGGGACUUGGCCAAGGUCACACAGGUAUUAAGUUGCUCAAGUGCCAUUUGAACCCAGAUCCUCUGAUUCCAAAUCCAGUAUUCUUUUUCACCAUAUUGGCUUUGUACUUCUCUGUGUAUAUGUUGCUUUCCCUUUAUCUGAUUGCAAAUUCCUUUAGGGCAAGGACUAUGUUGUAUUUCAUUUUUGUGUAACAGAGGCAGAUUCCUGGCAGGCCUGCUUUUCUUCAAUCUCUUUUUCAGGCCUCUGUCUUUUCUUGCCUUUUCCAAGUCCCAGUUUCAUUUAUUUCAAUAAACAUGUAUUAAGUACCUGCUAUGAGCCA
rnacentral:lncRNA from 1 species